UGGGGAAUAUUGCACAAUGGGCGAAAGCCUGAUGCAGCGACGCCGCGUGAGUGAAGAAGUAUCUCGGUAUGUAAAGCUCUAUCAGCAGGGAAGAUAACGACGGUACCUGACUAAGAAGCACCGGCUAAAUACGUGCCAGCAGCCGCGGUAAUACGUAUGGUGCAAGCGUUAUCCGGAUUUACUGGGUGUAAAGGGAGCGCAGUCGGCAUGGCAAGUCUGAUGUGAAAGCCCGGGGCUCAACCCCGGUACUGCAUUGGAAACUACCAAGCUAGAGUGUCGGAGGGGUAAGUGGAAUUCCUAGUGUAGCGGUGAAAUGCGUAGAUAUUAGGAGGAACACCAGUGGCGAAGGCGGCUUACUGGACGAUGACUGACGCUGAGGCUCGAAAGCGUGGGGAGCAAAGAGGAUUAGAUACCCUGGUA
rnacentral:rRNA from 1 species